rnacentral:rRNA from 1 species
AGCCUAAACAUGCAAGUCGAGCGGUAGAGAGAAGCUUGCUUCUCUUGAGAGCGGCGGACGGGUGAGUAAUGCCUAGGAAUCUGCCUGGUAGUGGGGGAUAACGUUCGGAAACGGACGCUAAUACCGCAUACGUCCUACGGGAGAAAGCAGGGGACCUUCGGGCCUUGCGCUAUCAGAUGAGCCUAGGUCGGAUUAGCUAGUUGGUGAGGUAAUGGCUCACCAAGGCGACGAUCCGUAACUGGUCUGAGAGGAUGAUCAGUCACACUGGAACUGAGACACGGUCCAGACUCCUACGGGAGGCAGCAGUGGGGAAUAUUGGACAAUGGGCGAAAGCCUGAUCCAGCCAUGCCGCGUGUGUGAAGAAGGUCUUCGGAUUGUAAAGCACUUUAAGUUGGGAGGAAGGGUUGUAGAUUAAUACUCUGCAAUUUUGACGUUACCGACAGAAUAAGCACCGGCUAACUCUGUGCCAGCAGCCGCGGUAAUACAGAGGGUGCAAGCGUUAAUCGGAAUUACUGGGCGUAAAGCGCGCGUAGGUGUUUUGUUAAGUUGGAUGUGAAAUCCCCGGGCUCAACCUGGGAACUGCAUUCAAAACUGACUGACUAGAGUAUGGUAGAGGGUGCUGGAAUUUCCUGUGUAGCGGUGAAAUGCGUAGAUAUAGGAAGGAACACCAGUGGCGAAGGCGACCACCUGGACUAAUACUGACACUGAGGUGC